GACAGGUGAGUCAUCGAAUCUUUGAACGCACAUUGCGCCCGCCAGUAUUCUGGCGGGCAUGCCUGUUCGAGCGUCAUUUCAACCCUCAAGCCCUACCUUGUGAACGGCUUGGUGUUGGGGAUCGGCAGCUUUGCCGUCCCCUAAAAGUAUUGGCGGCCCUCCGAGGCGACCUCUGCGUAGUAACUUACCUCGCACUGGGAAGCUUGGAGCGGCCACGCCGUAAAACCCCCGACUUUUAUAAGGUUGACCUCGAAUCAGGUAGGACUACCCGCUGAACUUAAGCAUAUCAAUAAGCGGAGG
rnacentral:misc_RNA from 1 species